rnacentral:lncRNA from 1 species
GGCUGACCCUGCUCCAGGGAAGCACUCAGAUGCUGAUUCAGAGGCACAGGUUGGGAUGCUUCAGAUCUUGCCACGUGUCCCUCCCCUGAAACAGUAAGGUCCCUUCUGUGCAGGGCAGCACUGAGUUAGGCAGGGACGUCUCAAACAUCAGACCUUCACCUUGUAGAAGUCCACUUUCUGGAAAAUAUCUGUACAAGGAAAUUCUUUAGCUUUGAGGAUCAAUGUGGUUCCUUUUUCAGCUGAGACUAAAUGAGACUUCAGCCUUUGAAUACACUUGGAACGCUUUGUUCCAUUCUAGCCCAUGGCACAAGAGAACAAGAGAAAAGCCAGCAAAAGAUUCAGCUGCCACAACUUCAUGCUCUAGCAUAAAGCGGUCUCUGACAGAGAAAGAGAGCUGCUUGCCUCUUUUGAAAGGUUAGUGCUUCUGGAUACCUCUAACAGAUGUAACAUGCAUGUCAUCACACGUCAUCAGCAGGGCAGACAACAUACCCAUGACCCUCUUCAAGAUUCGAGGGCAGUAAACCUCUUUUGCAGUUGCAAGCCCUUAAGUGGGGCAGAAGCCUUUCUCUCGGCAUCAGAAGUCACUGACUUCCAACACUUACCUUAAUACCAGGGGAGAACACCUG